rnacentral:SRP_RNA from 1 species
GCCAGGCAUGGUGGUGCAUGCCUGUAGUCCCAGCCACUCGGGAGGCUGAGGUGGGAGGAUGGCUUGAGCCUGGGAGGUCAAGGGUGCAGUAAAUCACGAUCUUUGUUGGGGUGCCACUGCACCCCAGCCUAGAUGACAGAGCAAGACCCCGUCUCAU